rnacentral:lncRNA from 1 species
UGUCCUCUUGGGGCUAUGCAGAAAUGUUCAUGUUGAUGAAACAAGCUGUCCUAGAAUGGCAGUUCCCGGGCAGCAGAGCCUGGGCUCAAGGAAGGUGGAAAGAUGGGGUGGCGAGGAGCUGCCAGGUGCAAAUGUCAGGCCAGCAAUGCAGUCCAGCUUGCAUGGACGUGCAUCACCUAGGAAGUUGUGACUUGGCUGCAGUUUCCACUUCAG